rnacentral:rRNA from 1 species
UGGGGAAUAUUGGACAAUGGGCGCAAGCCUGAUCCAGCCAUGCCGCGUGUGUGAAGAAGGCCUUAGGGUUGUAAAGCACUUUCAGUGGGGAGAAAGGUUAUUCACCUAAUACGUGAGUAAAUUGAUGUUACCCACAGAAGAAGCACCGGCUAACUCCGUGCCAGCAGCCGCGGUAAUACGGAGGGUGCAAGCGUUAAUCGGAAUUACUGGGCGUAAAGCGCACGUAGGUGGUUUGUUAAGCUAGCUGUGAAAUCCCCGGGCUCAACCUGGGCACUGCAGUUAGAACUGGCAAGCUAGAGUAGGGUAGAGGGGUGUGGAAUUCCAGGUGUAGCGGUGAAAUGCGUAGAUAUCUGGAGGAACAUCAGUGGCGAAGGCGACACCCUGGACUCAUACUGACACU